rnacentral:rRNA from 1 species
UACGUAGGGUGCGAGCGUUGUCCGGAAUUAUUGGGCGUAAAGGGCUCGUAGGCGGUCUGUCACGUCGGGAGUGAAAACUCGGGGCUUAACUCCGAGCCUGCUUCUGAUACGGGCAGACUAGAGGUAUGCAGGGGAGAAUGGAAUUCCUGGUGUAGCGGUGAGAUGCGCAGAUAUCAGGAGGAACACCGAUGGCGAAGGCAGGUCUCUGGGCCACUACUGACGCUGAGAAGCGAAAGCAUGGGGAGCGAACAGG